rnacentral:rRNA from 1 species
UACGAAGGGGGCUAGCGUUGCUCGGAAUCACUGGGCGUAAAGCGCACGUAGGCGGCUUAUUAAGUCAGGGGUGAAAUCCUGGAGCUCAACUCCAGAACUGCCUUUGAUACUGAUGAGCUUGAGUCCGGGAGAGGUGAGUGGAACUGCGAGUGUAGAGGUGAAAUUCGUAGAUAUUCGCAAGAACACCAGUGGCGAAGGCGGCUCACUGGCCCGAUACUGACGCUGAGGCACGAAAGCGUGGGGAGCAAACAGG